CGUGGAUAACUGUGGCAAUUCUAGAGCUAAUACAUGCACCAAGGCUCCGACUUUUGGACGAGCGCAUCUAUUAGAUUAAAACCAAUCGGGUUAUUUUAGCCCGUUAAUUGGUGACUCUGAAUAGCUAUGGCUGAUCGCAUGGUCUUGUACCGGCGACAUAUCUAUCAAGUGUCUGCCUUAUCAACUUUCGAUGGUAGUUUAUGUGCCUACCAUGGUUGUAACGGGUAACGGAGAAUAAGGGUUCGACUCCGGAGAGGGAGCCUGAGAAACGGCUACCACAUCCAAGGAAGGCAGCAGGCGCGCAAAUUACCCACUCUCAGAAUGAGGAGGUAGUGACGAAAAAUAACGAGACCGUUCUCUUUGAGGCCGGUUAUCGGAAUGGGUACAAUUUAAACCUGUUAACGAGGAUCUAUGAGAGGGCAAGUCUGGUGCCAGCAGCCGCGGUAAUUCCAGCUCUCAAAGUGUAUAUCGUCAUUGCGCGGUUAAAAAGCUCGUAGUUGGAUCUGCGUCUCAGGACCUGGUCCAUCCAUUGGAUGAGAACUGGGCUCCUAGGCUAAUAUUGCCAGUUUUCCCUAUGUUACCUUGAUCGGUUGCGUAUGGUGGCUAGCAAGUUUACCUUGAAAAAAUUAGAGUGCUCAAUGCGGGCUAAUGCCUGAAUACUCGUGCAUGGAAUAAUGAAAUAGGAUCUCGGUUCUAUUUUGUUGGUUUUCUGAUCUGAGAUAAUGGUUAAGAGGGACGGACGGGGGCAUUCGUAUCGCUGCGUGAGAGGUGAAAUUCUUGGACCGUAGCGAGACGUACGACUGCGAAAGCAUUUGCCAAGAAUGUCU
rnacentral:rRNA from 1 species